ACUCAGUAACGGCCAAGUUACAAGAAGAAAGGUACCAGAAAUGAUUUUUUAAAAAUGGGAAUUCAGAAUUCUACUUAAUAAUACUCCGAAUGCUCCCCAGUGAGCCAUGUGGACCUUUCUGUACACGAAGCACCUUGGAGGGAGGACAUAUGCCCAGCACAUGAGCCGCUGUGAGGACAUCCCAUUUGGAGACAGAUAGUGACCCUGUUUCUCAAGCAAGGCUUGUGCAGACUGAGUGGCCAUGAGGACUGCUUGGUGCUGAGAGACGAUCUUCUCGUGGUGGGCCUGCGUGAAAACACAUCAGCCGUGAGUAAGAAGACUCGGGCCGAAGGAAGAAAUGCCAUGGCUGAGGAUAUGUGGCACAACUAGAAAGAGCCAGAAACAGGCCCUGCGGCUAUCUCUCCACUCUGCCAGGACUUCAGGAAUUCCUACAGCCCUUUCAGAGUUCCAUAUCCUGAGAAGCAAAAGGAUCAGAAGGCAACCCUCAUGCAGCGAGGCAUCUUUAUGUCUCGAUCCACCCACCGGUAUUCUUCACCCCUUGCGUCAAGUUACUAACCUUUCCUGACUUCUAUGUAACAGACUCAGAAGGCGUUCCUAAAGGAAUUCAUUAAAUUUUUCAUUUUAAGAAAUAAUUAUAACAAGGUUCUAUGAUAGACCCUGGAAACCAUAAAAACACCUCAAUUCCAGUGCCAACACCAGCAGCAUCAACACUGGACUUUAGCUAUCGAAGCCCUGAGAGCCUCAAGUGGCACCAUCCAAUGGACAUCACAGAGCACUACCGUCUCAUGAGCUGCAGUUCUCCAACUAAUGCCUAGCAGCUGGGGAACAGAACACAGCCCACAUCCUCAGAUUCUUUUAGGUACAAGAAAGAAUCUAGAAUUUCUGGUGAUUGACUAGAGAACACUCCUUUGUAAAAUACAAAGCACAACUAAAUUAAAUCCUCAAAAAUGUUGCUACCUUAA